rnacentral:misc_RNA from 1 species
GAUGAAGAACGCAGCGAAAUGCGAUAAGUAAUGUGAAUUGCAGAAUUUAGUGAAUCAUCGAAUCAUUGAACGCAUAUUGCGCCCGCCAGCACUCUGGCGGGCAUGCCUGUUCGAGCGUCAUUUCAACCCUCAAACCCCGGGUUUGGUGUUGGACCCAAGUUGUGUGAACAACUGGUCUCAAAGACAAUGACGGCGUCCGUGGGACCCUCGGUGCAACGAGCUUUUAGGAGCACGCAUCGAGUUGCAAGGACCUUCCGGGCCGGUCUCCUUUACUAUUUUACAAGGUUGACCUCGGAUCAGGUAGGAAUACCCGCUGAACUUAAGCAUAUCAAUAAGCGGAGGA